rnacentral:rRNA from 1 species
UAUAGGUUUGGUCCCAGCCUUCCUGUUAACUUUCAAUAGACUUAUACAUGCAAGCAUCCACGCCCCGGUGAGUAACGCCCUUCGAAUCACACAGGACUAAAAGGAGCAGGUAUCAAGCACACACUCUUGUAGCUCACAACGCCUUGCUUAACCACACCCCCACGGGAGACAGCAGUAACAAAAAUUAAGCCAUAAACGAAAGUUUGACUAAGCCAUAUUGAUUAGGGUUGGUAAAUCUCGUGCCAGCCACCGCGGUCAUACGAUUGACCCGAGCUAACAGGAGUACGGCGUAAAGCGUGUUAAAGCAUCAUACUAAAUAGAGUUAAAUUUUAAUUAAACUGUAAAAAGCCAUAAUUAUAACAAAAAUAAAUGACGAAAGUAACCCUACAAUAGCUGAUACACCAUAGCUAAGACCCAAACUGGGAUUAGAUACCCCACUAUGCUUAGCCCUAAACACAAAUAAUUAU